rnacentral:rRNA from 1 species
UACGGGAAAGCAGCAGUGGGGAAUAUUGGACAAUGGGCGGAAGCCUGAUCCAGCCAUGCCGCGUGUGUGAAGAAGGCCUUAUGGUUGUAAAGCACUUUAAGCGAGGAGGAGGCUACUUGAGUUAAUACCUAGAGAUAGUGGACGUUACUCGCAGAAUAAGCACCGGCUAACUCUGUGCCAGCAGCCGCGGUAAUACAGAGGGUGCGAGCGUUAAUCGGAUUUACUGGGCGUAAAGCGUGCGUAGGCGGCUUUUUAAGUCAAAUGUGAAAUCCCCGAGCUUAACUUGGGAAUUGCAUUCGAUACUGGGAAGCUAGAGUAUGGGAGAGGAUGGUAGAAUUCCAGGUGUAGCGGUGAAAUGCGUAGAGAUCUGGAGGAAUACCGAUGGCGAAGGCAGCCAUCUGGCCUAAUACUGACGCUGAGGUGCGAAAGCAUGGGGAGCAAACAGGAUUAGAUACCCUGGUAGUCCAUGCCGUAAACGAUGUCUACUAGCCGUUGGGGCCUUUGAGGCUUUAGUGGCGCAGCUAACGCGAUAAGUA